UCAGACUCCACCCCGCCUCGCCCCGGCUCGACGUUCACAGCCGGGGACUGGGUGACGUCAAGGCCCCGCCCGAGCAGACCCGGAAGCAGAAUCCCCAGCCCGCCGACGCUGGCGUCGCUGCUCCGGCCCCGCCGCCAGAGGGCGCGAGAGUCGCCUAUGUUGGCUCUCACCUCCGUCGUUACGUCGGCAGGCCGGUCCCGGAAAUGGAGGGGUCUGCCGUACAAGAUGGCUGCUCCCUCUGUGGUGGUAAGGAACGCUGAGAGGCUUUCCUGGUUCAGGGAAGCGCGGUUACCUGAGCGCAGUGAUCGCAGCGCAAGCUUCUCGUAAAAGAUAGCUGCCAGGGAGUCUCCAGGUGUCUUUCUUGACGGGGUAGCUGGCCAAAGAGUCUACCUACAGACUCAGCAAGGAAGACAACUAUGUUUACAGAACAAAACGGGGAAGGCAGCUGCCAUGUCAUGAGGACCCUCAAACAGCCCUCUGGAGAGGCCCAGAUGGAGAGAAACUAAUAUGUCAGCACCAAUUUGCCAGCCAUGUGAGCGAGCCACCUUGGAAGCAGGUUCUCCAGCCCCGGGCAUGGCUUCAGAUGAUUCUAGCUGCCAGCCUUUGAGUCUUUCAGCUGAGCCCCAGACAUCAUGGAGUAGAGAUAAAGCAUGCAAGCUAUGUCCGUCUAAACUUGUGGUCCACAGAAAUCAUGAAAUAAUACAUGACUCUAGGCUUAUAGCACUAAGCUUUGGGGCAUUUUGUUUUGCAGUUAUAGAUAGCUAAUACAGUAGCUCAACCCUGAUGCCCUUCUGGACCAACCUCUUGACUCUGGGAAACUGAAACUCCUGCACAUUAGCCUCACCCAAGCAGGUUUGCAGGCAGCUCCCCUGCAGCCUCUUCUUGUCCUUAUGUCCCUCUCCUUUCCCUGUGCAGGGAGCAGAGGGUAGGAUCAACGCACCUGCUCCCUAAUCCGAGGUUUCAGUGGGAAAUGAGAUGCUCAUCAAUCCUGCUUGUAGUUCCCACCCCAGCUUUAAGAGUAAGUCUCAUAGAGCCCCCGUCACCUUGGCAAUGGUGGGGAAAAAAACACUCCCCAUUGGACGUGUGACUACAUGGAUUCCUUCUCUCACCUCUUCCCACACUUUUGCUCGUAAGGGAGCGGGAGGGGAGGAUGAGUGAUUGUGGUAAGGCCAGUCCUGCCACUUCUCUGUACAUUCCUGAGGCGGGGCCUGUUCUUGGCCCAAUCUUAGCAGAUGUUCUUAAUCAUUCUAAAAUGUGAGGUCCUCAAUGCUCUUUGUCCUCAGUUUUGGAUCUUGAUUGUCAAUACUAUACCAGGAAAACAGGCAAAGGCCCCGUCAACAUAGGGAUCAAAGGCAUUCACGACCUACCAUGACAUGGUCUUUCUGCUCGAGUUUCUGUACUGCUUCUGCUUCCUUCUCUCCAACUCUGUUCUCUAGGAACACUGAACCAUCAGCAGUUUCUGGAAUGAGUUAUGACAUGCUCUCUCUUUUCUCCAAACGUUUGCACAUAGUCGUCCCUCUGCUGGCAGUAAUCUUCCUCUUCCUUUGCUCAGCAGAUUUUUACUCAUCUUGCAUGAGUUACCUCAGCACUGCCUCCUCUGGGAAGCCCUCCUUGACUACUCUGUCUCCCAAGCUACAUCAGGUGCCUCUCCUGCGCCACCCUAACUCCUUUGUUUCUUUUAUCUAGCAUUUAUCAUGCUGUAUUUGUGGCAGAGGAAGAAAGCUGUCCACCAAAGUUCAUUUCCCUCUUCCAUAGCAUACAGCUGUUGCUAGAAGGCAGCUGCCUAACCCAGUGCCCCGUUUCCCAUCUCCUUUUGCAUCUAGGUGUGCAGUAUGACUAGCUCUUGCCAAAGCAAUGUGAGCGGAAGUGACAUGUCUCUACAAAGUUCUUCCCCUGCUACCAGCUGUAUUUAGACAAUGACAAGACCUUUGGGAAUGGUGCUGCCACAAGGUGGAAAGAGCCCGGUAUCCCAGGCUGUCAGCGGGGGAGAAAUUGUGAUCUUCAUUCCACAGAAGAGGAAACUGAGCCUGAGUUUUCAUCAGGUCUCUUUUGGAUGCAAGUGACAAAAAUCUAACUUGAACUGCCUUGUCUUAGCUUGGCUCCCUAGAAAACAGAGGCUGAGACCAGGCUUAACAUGCUGCCGCUUUAUUGUGGAGGUCAAUGCCUGGGCAGCAAGAGUGAAAGAAAAGGAGAAGUGAGGAAAGGACAGAGGGGAGAAGGGAAAACAAAUAUAAGGUAGUGUGUUAUCAGAGUGGCCACAGAGUCAGCAAACCCAGAUGCUUCCUGGGUCUCAUACAGGGCUGCCAGCUCAAUACAGGACACCCAGUUAAAACUGAAUUCCAGAUAAAGACAGUGUUUAGUAGGAGUAUUUUUACUUGCUGAUUCUGACAACUUUAGUCCCAUGAGAUGUCUCUAGGGCAGCCAUGUGGAACAGUCCAUGGGGGAAAGGGAAAAGCUCCUUCCCAAAUCCCGAGUCCCCUUGGCCACCGUUUACCCCUGAGGAUGUUUACUCUCCCCCAUUUCUCGGCCCUAUUCCCUGACUCUUCUGGGUAGUCACUAAGAGAGUCAAAGCCUCCUCUGUGAGUCCAGUCAGGUAGGCCCUGGGCCCUGAAGCUGUUGCAACUCCUGCUGAGACUAGCCCCUGGGUGAGGCUGUGACUUUCCCUUAAGCAACUGGUGAAGGCUGGAGGGUGAGGUGAAGAUGGGGGUGGGACUGGGGGAGGGGCGUGGACUCAGGCAUCGCUGGAUACAAGGACCCACAUUUUAUCACUAAGACAUGUCCCUCACCAUCUCUGUUUUCCUCUGUUUUUACUUUAGCUUUGCUCUGGGUGACAAGAAGUCCCCCAGCAACUCUAGAGAUGUCUUAUUCUCUCUCCAUAGAGAAAAAAGUCUUCUUCCAACAGAUCUGCCUCCUCAUACCCGCUAAAAGACCCAGACUUGAGAGUUAUCAGCCCUGAUUGCCUGGAGCUGGUCAAGUGCCCAUCCCUGAAAGGGACAUUGUGGGCAGAAGGCUGCAACGCAGCUUUGUGUUCAGGAGGGCUCUGGAAAGCAGCCUGUGGCUAGAGUUGUGGGAAGAGGAAAAGGAUCUAGUGUGAUGUGUGGUUCCCUUUUGUGGGUGCCCCCCCAGCCACACACACACACACACCUGGGACCUCCUGGAGCACAGGGACUGGCUGGUUAAUCUCUGUGUCCCUAGGGUUGUCCUGGAAAUUGAGGACUGAUUACUUUUGAAUGAAUGAAUGAAUGAAUGAACCUUUGUUUCUUUUACCACAUCUAGCAUAAAAGUGCCUAAAGCCACCACCUAAGAUUUGUCUCACCUACUUACUGACAUGUAACUUCAGUCAUUCCCCUAGAUGUGAUGGAGCGCUUUGUAAAUCACUUUCACAUCUGAUUCCCACAAUAACUCAGAAAACUGGGGUUAUUUACACCACUUUAGGAUGAGGAAAUUGCAGCCCAGAAGUGAGUUGCUCAAAGGCACAGGGGCUCCGGCUGGGUGCAAGAGGUCAGGGGAAGUACCAAGAAGGGAAGACUAGAGUGGGCAUGGAGGGACAGACAGCCAGUGACUCCUGGAUUAAUAAAAACUGCUGAGGGAGGAACCCUCGGGCAAAACUGGCUAUGUUUAAACAGCAAGCCCCAGAGAACUUCAUAAAUCAUGCAGAGCUGUGUCAAAGAGAAUAAUUAAACAUUUUACUCUGCUUUAAAUUGUUCAAUCAUGUGGGGAGAUUUGUCAAUGUCCUAUGGGGUGCUGGGGACAUCGAGGUAGAUCAGAGCAGGUACUGGUCCUUGAGGGGCCCCCCAGUCUAGGAAAGAAACAGAUGAAUAAGCAGACAUAAAGCAAGCAGUGUCUUGGGGCUGUGCAGGGUCCUCCCAGGAUUAUAGGGGUCACCGUGGGAACAGGAGAAGAGAGGGUGUGGCCAGGAAAGCACUGUAGUGCUAGUGACUUGUGAAGGGAGACACAUCUCACCUUGGACACGCACACAUUCUCUGCUUAGAGCCUUCCAGGGCUUCUCAUCACAUGUGGUAUAUAUUUCAAAGGCCUCACCAUCACCUUUGAGACCCCAUACAGCAGUCAUAUUGUUUACCCUCUGAAAAGGGCACUAGGCACUGGGAUAGCUCAUGCAUGAUGCCACUGGUUUGCUGAUCUUGUUGGCUUGGGGCAGCACCCAGACACACAUCUCCUCCAACUGCCACUGGAUCUCCUCCUUCAGCUUCUCUGAAUCCUGGGCCAAGCAUGUGUGUAGCUCUGUGGUGAAGGCACCAGGUUCUGUGCUGCUGGUCACCCAUGCAUGGCACUGAAGUUGCAGGUGAUGGGAGAUAGACAUGGGUUCCAAUUGGUCCUCACGGGUUCUAGUUAUCCUCAUGGGGUCCAGUGUGUCAUUGUUCUUAUCCACAUCCAUCUUUUCUUCCUGACUGCUGGUCUGGCUGACCUGUAGUGACAGAUGUUGGUCUCAAUGCUGGACACAGAAGCAACAGCCUGCACAGACUUUCUACCAACUCCGACAAUUGUGUAAAGUCUAACCCCUACCAUUAAUUUCUUAUUCUAACUUCUCUGAUUAAAUCUUAACUGAUAUACUAGAUAACUACAUUUUUUGUUUGCUGAAGUAUGUUCUUAUUCCACCCUCACUUUUUUUUUCGAAAAAGGGAACAUGUGGUAUAUAGUUU